GCCGUUGUAGUGUAGUGGCUAUCAUAUUUCGUUGUGGCCGAAAUGACGGCGGUUCGAUUCCGCCCAACGGCA